UACAGAGGAGCCAAGCGUUGUCCGGAUUGACUGGGCGUAAAGUGCACGCAGGCGGACGCGCGCGUGGGGUGUGAAAUCUGGCCGCUUAACGGCCAGGCGCCAUCCCAUACGGCGUGUCUGGAGUGAUGCAGAGGUCGAUGGAAUUGCCGGUGUAGUGGUGAAAUGCGUAGAGAUCGGCAGGAACACCCAGGGGGAAACCAGUCGACUGGGCAUCUACUGACGCUGAGGUGCGAGAGCGUGGGGAGCGAACCGG
rnacentral:rRNA from 1 species